CAGCCCACGGUAUAGGAGAAGCGGCAAAUCCAUCGAGCCUCAAAACGGAGGCGGCGCCGCAGAAGAAGGGAUACGAAGAGGUGCGGCUUCACGCGAUUCUUAUCUAUCCAUUACUCCGCACCGCAACUCCACGGGACUUUGGCUCCACCUUUCCCUCCAAGAAAAUAUUUUAUUUUAGCUUUCAUCUCAAGCAACAGGAAGCUUUCCCCUUUUUGUAUAAAUCCCCUCAACAUCCUCCCCUUCUCAAGAAAAUUAUACACCUCUCCUCUUCCUCCUCCUCCUAUUCUUCAACAAGGUUGGCAGUAGAAGCGCUGUGUCACCGUCGAUAUGGAAUCACCAGAAGGUAAGACUGGAAUGGAGCUUCCGCAACCUACCUCCCCUUGCUGGAAGAAGAAGUCGGCAGACGCGAGCUUUGUGGCUAAUUGUAAGGACCACUUUGAUCAGCUUGUCCAUACUUCAAUGGAGCAGCACAGGAUUUGCCUCAAGAAGAGCAUGAGGGAACUUAAGGACUAUAUUAGGCUCAAGAAACAAGGCGCGAUGGUGAAAUCAUCAAGGGAUGAUAAUGAGAGGAAUUCAGCAGCUGAUAAAGAAAAAGAAGGUUCCAUGUCGGUCCACGAGGUGACAUCCUUAUAAGAUCCAACAUGUUUGAUGAUUUGUUCUUGAGGACAGUUUUGGAGUAGUUUUCACAGGUGGCAAGAAUUCAUCUUGGCAGUUUUGAAGUCUUCUUUAGAUCAUAAGACUAAUUUCUUUUUUAUUUUAAAGCACUGGACAUAUGGAUAACUUUUAUACACUUUCCAUGGUGCAUUUUUUUUUUUUCAGUACUUAUUAACUUGAAGUUUUACAGCAAUUUGUGAUUCAUUGCGUUUUCCUGGAGCUCUUGCAAUUUUUGGUUGAGCAAUUCAGUGAUUCGUUUCAGUUAUUAGCGAUGUGUGGGCCCUCGAGAUCUUGUUAUUAUCUGUGGAAAGACUUGAAAACUGGCAACUAUUCCUGUUUUCCUGGUCCUGUUUUUAUUGUUACAGUAAUUUAACUUGAGCUGAGUAUGCACUACUUCAACAAUUGUACUAGUUUCAUCAUGAAACGACAAAGAGUAUUGUACAUUUGGCAGCCAGUGCUGGUUAUUGCAUCGCUGUAUUCUUGUUUAUAUUGCAAUCCCACAGUGUUUCUUUCAGUCCUUACGCACUUAUUUACUUGGAUGGUUACUGAAAAAGUUUCUUUUGAUCCAUGGUGACAAGAUCUAGACCAUCUUAGCCAGCAUGUCUCUUAUACUCGAGAUCAAUUAAAACAUUUAUAGUGUAAUGAUUUAGGUUUAAGUUUUGUAGUUCUUGGUUAGCUUUUGCUGUCUACCUCUUUUUUUGUAGGACAGUGAAAAUGUUCAAAUUUAAGAUUCAUCAUCAUAUGUUGUUCACAUUUCUUAUUUACAUAUUGUUUUCUUUUCCUGUGGAUUGUGGUUUAAAACGUGUGGAAAAUAAACAUAUUUUCCCCCGAUAAAGUAAUUGCAGAAUCAAAUAUUAGAUCCUUCCAUUUAUACCUUCAAACUGUCUGUUUUCCAACUGAAUUAAACUGGACCAAUGUAUUGCCUAUUUGCCACUGCAACUCCACAUGCUUAAUUUCUUCCUCCUCCUAUGUGCAUUAGUUUUGCCUGCUUAGUGCACCCAAGAGGCAUGUCCGUAGAGAGAGCUCAAGAAUGUCUUGUGAUGGACUGGAAGCGAUAUUCUUUUACUGCUGCAGUGUGUUAUAAAUUGACUGUAGGAUAUUCAUAUGUUCUUGUGGUAAAUAGUGCAUGGAAGAGAAAAGGUGCAGAGGAGGUUGUGGAAGAGAUCUCCCAUCAUCCUAAGGUGCUAGUCCUUCAUGAACAUCUCCAUUUGCAGUGCGACUGAAAUCAGUUUUCUAAGAUUGUAAAAACAUUCACCUCUGUUAGCAUAAUUCUUGGCCUAUGCUUGGAUGUUGAUUAUUUGAAUGUCAUCACAAAAUGCAAGUGCUUGAGUUAAAGACCCAGGAAAACAAUGGAUCAAGAUGGUGAAACACUGGAGGAACAUUAUGAACAAGAAUUUCCUUAUGGAUUUGGUCUAUGGAAUUUGAAGAUGGAUGGUUCUAUAGAACUAGAUCGCUUAAUAUAUAUUUCAAGAGUGACAAAUAUCUAUAUAAUAUAUUAUAAUGUAUUAAAGUUUGGUGAAUUGACAUUAUGAUUCAACAUUUUAGUUGGGUAUUCUGUAACUUCAAUUUGGUUACACCAAUGUUGCAUUGUAUAACAAAUUGAUCAAGAAAGCUCUCCUAACUCCGAAGGAUAACAUGAACCUAGAAUUAUUUGUUAAUCAAUCUUUUGUUAUGAAAAGUGAUUUCCAUUUGCCAGCAGGAAUUGGGUACAAUGGUGGAAGCCCCUUUUCUGGGUUUGCUCACUGGAAAGUUCAGGAUAUGGUGCCACAUUGCUACCAUAUUAUCAUGUUCUUGCAGCAAAAAAAGAAAAAAAAGCCUUGUUCCAGUAGUUGAUUGUUAGUUCCCCAUACAAUCAACAGUAAGUGCUUCUGUUUGCUUCACAAUGCCACAGUAGUGCCAUAUUAGAUAGGAUGCUGAAAAGAGUCACUUUCUUCAACUGAGAUAAAUUGGUUGACAAAAUGCAUGUUUGACCUACCACCAAGCACAUAUUUGCCCCAUGGACAACCAGGCAGGGGGAUAGAUUUGAAAGCAGUGUUGCCUCUUUCUUCAACUGACAUAAAUUGGUUGACAAAAUGCAUGUUUGACCUGCCGCCAAGCACAUACUCGCCCCUUGGACGAGCAGGCAGGGGGAUAGAUUUGAGGGUAGUGUUGCCUCUUUCUUCAACUCCAGAUUUAAAAAGUUUUGAUCAUGUCAACUUUGAGUCGGUACCUAGGUUGGGUCGAUGGGUAUAAAUUGGGUGAGGAUUAGCCCCGCAUGGUCCAAGGAAAAAAAAAACAAAAAAUGGUUGACCGUGGUGACCAAAAAAAUGAUAUACGGACCUUUUAUCUUUGUUAUAGGUUAUAUCGGCUGUCUUUCCAUUACGAAAAAAACAUAUAGGAACGGCUAUCUUUCCAUUACAAAAGAAACAUACAGGAACUGUUGUGAUCAAUCUUCUACUGCAUUUAGCUCCGAUAAAAAAUAAUUUGCAAAAAAAAUUUACAGAUCAAAAUUAUGUUCGAAGAAAUCUUUUGAUGUUUAAGUCGGUAGGAAGUCGUGAAUAGCAGAUAGAAUAUUCAAAAUAUCAGACUCUCAGCUCAAAAACGUCUUAUCAAUGCUGUUCAUUUAUCUUUUAUUUUUUAUAGACGAGUUGUUGAUAACCGUUUGUAACGGUUAGGCAUGUAGAUCCUAUUAUUCCGAAAUUAUAUGAUCGUAGGAUGGAUAGUUAAUAUCCAUCGAUAAUCGUGUAUGUAGCUGUUAUACGCCUUCUGCACUGGUAGUUUUCAAUAUGUCGAUUAUAUGUCGGUAUAUAUGGUAUAUUGACUGACUGUCAGUUGGUUAUUCUGGCAUACCGACUAGUCAGCGGUCAUCAUAGUUGAUUUAAUCUCGGAUGAAAGUUGAUUGAGAAUCUCUGAUUAUGUUUCGGUGUAACCGAUUGAUAGUCGGACGUUUCACUUGUUAGACCGAUUGAGAGUCGGGUGACAUAUUGUAAUCGGCCCGGAACUCAUUCCAUGAUGUGGCUUUGAUAGUCCAUUGUCCGUCGCCGACAUAUGGUUGGUUGGCCGAUUAUGAAUCAGGGGGAGUAGAUUCAAUUAUCCUAACAGUUGCUCCCUAAUCUCAAGUCCAAGAUGGCCUGACAUAUGGAUUGACACGUGUGUUGGCACGUUGGACGAAGAAAGUUGUCACAUGUUAUCUCGAGCUUCGAUUUAACUGUAGACAUUAAUGAUUGCUUUGAAAAUCGAAAGGUUUAUAGCGGUUUUAUCGUUUUGAUGGCCGUGCGACCAUCAUUGGGAUGUCAAUUCAAGAAAAUGGUUAGGCGACGAUUCGAUCGAUUUGAUUCUGAUUAGUCGAUUACCGUCAUGUGUCUAGUCGUUAUUGGCUCUUAACUGCUCAUGCGGAUAGAGAUGACAUGGUAUGAUCAGAUGGUAGGUGCGUUGAACCAUCCGAUCAAUAAUUGAUUUUGAUGUAGCUACAUGUCAAAAUCUGGGGCAAUCUUGAUCUGAACAAAUUCAUUCCGACCGUUGACGGGUUCUAUAUAUAUAAUGUUGCUUUUAUUUGGAUUUUCUAUUUCUUUGCUUGUCAUUUUUCCACAGUUGAGGGCUUUUCUAUGGGUGUGAAGAGCUUCAGGAGUCUAGGAGUCUUCCUCCCUGUGUCUUCGUGGUCUCCAGGACAUCCAUUAGCUUCAGGUUAGGUUUCUUUUUCUUCUUUUCCUUUUCUAGUCCCCUUUAAUUUUUUUUCCUACCAUUUUUUGAUGGCCAAUAGUAGUAGGAAGGGUAAGAAAAUUGUUAGAAUAGAUGAGCCCCCUUGGGAUAGUCGAUCGAAUGACCCGGUUGACGAUGCUCCUUUGGGUCCGGAUGUAGAAGUUUCUUCUUUUUUCAGAUCCAAUAUUGAUCGGCUUAGGGAACAAUAUCAUAUCUCAGAGCAAUUCAGCUCUUUGCGCCUGGUCCAAAUGGUCGGGUGAGUUCUUUUCCUUCGGAUUAGGUGGCAAUUUAUGUGGAGGACCUUCAGAUUGGUCUUCAUUUUCUUAUUCUGGAGUUUAUCCGGAAUCUUUUUGAUUAUUACAGUCUUUGUCCUAUCCAGUUAGCCCCGAACUCCAUUCGGUUAAUCAUCAGUUUUACUUUAUUAUGUCAUAUGAUCCCGACCAACCCUCGGUGUUCUUUUUUUCGUGCUUUUUUUGUUCUUCGUCCUCAUCCAAAAGCCAAGGGUUGGUGGUUCUUCAAUCCAGGAAAGUUCUGUCCUUCAUUUUUGGCCUUCCUUCGUCCAUUCACAGGUGGAAUAAUCAAUUUUUCUUUAUUUUUUCUUCUUUGCCUUCAGGCUUUCCUUCCUCCUGGAGAAAUCCAAAGACAAGCCUUAAUGAGCAUAGUCAAGUCAAAGUCAUCAAUCGAGAAGGCUUUAUCCGACUGAAAGAUAUGGAAGUUCCUGCGCUAUGGGAGCUGUUGACAGAACAAGCUCUCUACGACAUUAGACUUAGUUCGGUGGCUUCCCUAGCUAUGCAACCAGCGGCGCGAGUCUCAAUAGUUGAUGUCCCACAAUAUGCUGCCAAAAAGAGAGCUGCGGCUGGUGCAGGGCCAUCCCGAGCACUAAAAAAAAGUCAGACCGACACACAGUCGGCGACAGCGAGGAAGACUGACACUCCGUCGAUAGUCAUUUCAAAAAUUGAACCCAUCGUCAUGCUGUCGGCUCCGACAGUACUUCCAUCAGUCAAAGUGCCUCUGCCUAUCAUGGUUGUUGAACUACCACUAGUCAGAACAAUAUCGGUCAGUGUAGAGCCGAUGGAGUCUUGAAAAAUUCUUGCAUCCGAACCAGGACCGGCCACCGCAAUGCCGAUGGUAACUUGGGCACCCUCAACGGGGUUGACAUUAUCUCGGGUACCCUCAACAUCUGAAUGGAUGGUGGCUUCAAGCGAGCGGCCACCCACUGGAGAGCGGGGAAAGGCACCAGCUUUGUCGGCUGACGAUGGGUCGUCGAUGGGCUUCACAGUGCUCUUCAACAUCCGAAUUCCUACAGGUGAGUCGGCCUUGGCGAAUCUGAAAUUAGCCAAGUGACUCAUUGAAGCUGCAUGUUUUUCAACUAACAGGAAGAGCAGGAAGGAUCGAACGAUGUCCGAGAUAUUUUCAUCUUUUUAUCUGAUGAUGCUCAGCGCCUUAGAGAGCGGAUAUCGAAAAAUUACCGACUUUCACCGAAUAUGGAUGGAUAAAGUUGCAGCCGCCAAUGUUGAGAAAGUUACGGCUAUUGAACGGUUCUAGAUGAUGACUGAGUGAGAGGAGAAGUAUCAAGAGGAAAACUCUCACAUGAAGGUGAAACUAGAGUCGGUAAAAGUUGAGCUAGAAUCGGCAAGGGGCGAGUUACAGUCGGCCCAUGCUGAGUUAGAAUCGGCACAGCAGACCGUCAAGUCUCAGGAGUCUCGAAUUAAAAAGAAGAAAUAUGAAGUUAAUCGACUCUAUAAAGACUGUGACGGUUGUACCAAAGAAUUAGAGAAAGAACGAAAGAAGCAUCGGGCCACUAAAGCAAGGUUAGCACUGGCCAAUGCAGAAUCAGCCUCCAUUAAGAAGGAAGCACAGUCGGCUAAGGAAGCUCUCAGUCGGGCGUGGGAGCAGGCCAUUGAGGAUUAUAAGGAGUCCAAAGAUUUCAAAAAUGAAAUCCUCGAGGGUGGCUGCACAUCUUACUGAGUCGGUUAUGAGGAUGGGAGGGAUGUGGUCGGGCAGCUUUAUCUUGAUCUAGAUCUGAGUAACAUGACCAUCCCAGCUGGUGCACUAGGAGAGGAGCCAGCUGAUGAUAUAAUAGCCCCGAUUGAAAAAGUUGCACCGAUUAUGAUAGAGUCGGCCCCAGUUGUAACCGUAUUAGAGUCGGUCAGGGUAGAGUCGGCUAUUGUCGAAGGCUACGAAAUUAGAGCUGCGACGGCUGCUGAUAUAGUCGAGGAAGAAACUGACUGAUGAUCGGUAUAGAUAUCCUUUUCUUUCUUUUUUGUAAUUGGACAAUAGUGCAACUCACCUUUUGUAAUCGGAUUUUGGGUCGAAUUUUGUAAUUCUUUGCUCAUGAAUGAAAAAAAAAGUUUUCCAAAUGUUGAAAAUUUUUUAAAUAUUGAACUUCUUAUAUGUCACCUUUUUGAAUAUGAUGUUCAUUAUUACCGACAUAGUUGAAUAUCAGUCGGAUAAUCGAAUGCUAAACAAACAGCCAAAUAUUAGUCGGAGUCCUGAAUGACGAUUGGUAAUUGAAGUCAUAGAAUUUGCCUGUUAGCUGCAUACUAAUUAACUGAACUUUAAAUGCAAUUUUUUUUAAGUAUAGUCAAGUAUCAAUUGAUUAAACUUUAGGCAUGAUUUUUCUAAGUAUUUGAUAGAUGAAGGUUAGCUGAAUAUCCUUCAAUUAAUCGAAGUUAAGUCAGUUUAUUAUUGCAUUCAAUCAUGGUCGAAUCAGCAUACUAUUCCGCUUAGUCAUUGGUAAAUUGACAUGUGUAGUCAUUUGACUUGAUUCGGCAUUUACAGUUGUC